CAAUGGGCGAAAGCCUGAUCCAGCAAUGCCGCGUGUGUGAAGAAGGCCUUCGGGUUGUAAAGCACUUUUGUCCGGAAAGAAAUCCUUGGCUCUAAUACAGUCGGGGGAUGACGGUACCGGAAGAAUAAGCACCGGCUAACUACGUGCCAGCAGCCGCGGUAAUACGUAGGGUGCGAGCGUUAAUCGGAAUUACUGGGCGUAAAGCGUGCGCAGGCGGUUUGCUAAGACCGAUGUGAAAUCCCCGGGCUCAACCUGGGAACUGCAUUGGUGACUGGCAGGCUAGAGUAUGGCAGAGGGGGGUAGAAUUCCACGUGUAGCAGUGAAAUGCGUAGAGAUGUGGAGGAAUACCGAUGGCGAAGGCAGCCCCCUGGGCCAAUACUGACGUUCAUGCACGAAAGCGCGGGGAGCAAACAGGAUUAGAUACCCUGGUAGUCCACGCCCUAAACGAUGUCAACUAGUUGUUGGGGAUUCAUUUCCUUAGUAACGUAGCUAACGCGUGAAGUUGACCGCCUGGGGAGUACGGUCGCAAGAUUAAAACUCAAAGGAAUUGACGGGGACCCGCACAAGCGGUGGAUGAUGUGGAUUAAUUCGAUGCAACGCGAAAAACCUUACCUACCCUUGACAUGGUCGGAAUCCCGCUGAGAGGUGGGAGUGCUCGAAAGAGAACCGGCGCACAGGUGCUGCAUGGCUGUCGUCAGCUCGUGUCGUGAGAUGUUGGGUUAAGUCCCGCAACGAGCGCAACCCUUGUCCUUAGUUGCUACGCAAGAGCACUCUAAGGAGACUGCCGGUGACAAACCGGAGGAAGGUGGGGAUGACGUCAAGUCCUCAUGGCCCUUAUGGGUAGGGCUUCACACGUCAUACAAUGGUCGGAACAGAGGGUUGCCAACCCGCGAGGGGGAGCUAAUCCCAGAAAACCGAUCGUAGUCCGGAUUGCACUCUGCAACUCGAGUGCAUGAAGCUGGAAUCGCUAGUAAUCGCGGAUCAGCAUGCCGCGGUGAAUACGUUCCCGGGCCUUGUACACACCGC
rnacentral:rRNA from 1 species